AUCCUUACCUAGUGCCGGAGCCUCGUUGAUCACCGAGGAUGAGCCCCCCAGAGCGAGGCACGGGAACUGCACUGCGCUCGCGUUGACCUCUUCCACUACCCCAAACUGGGCAGAUGGGGAAUGCAAAUUGC
rnacentral:snRNA from 1 species